GACGAACGCUGGCGGCGUGCUUAACACAUGCAAGUCGAACGGAAAGGCCUCUUUCGGGGGGUACUCGAGUGGCGAACGGGUGAGUAACACGUGAGUAACCUGCCCUUGACUUUGGGGUAACUUCAGGAAACUGGGGCUAAUACCGGAUAGGAGCUCCUGCUGCAUGGUGGGGGUUGGAAAGUUUCGGCGGUUGGGGAUGGACUGGCGGCUUAUCAGCUUGUUGGUGGGGUAGUGGCUUACCAAGGCUUUGACGGGUAGCCGGCCUGAGAGGGUGACCGGCCACAUUGGGACUGAGAUACGGCCCAGACUCCUACGGGAGGCAGCAGUGGGGAAUAUUGCACAAUGGGUGGAAGCCUGAUGCAGCAACGCCGUGUGCGGGAUGACGGCCUUCGGGUUGUAAACCGCUUUCGCUCAUGACGAAGCUUUGUGUGACGGUAGUGGGUAAAGAAGCACCGGCUAACUACGUG
rnacentral:rRNA from 1 species